rnacentral:rRNA from 1 species
UACGUAGGGUGCAAGCGUUGUCCGGAAUUAUUGGGCGUAAAGAGCUCGUAGGCGGUCUGUCGCGUCGGCUGUGAAAACCCGAGGCUCAACCUCGGGCCUGCAGUCGAUACGGGCAAACUAGAGUACUGCAGGGGGAGACUGGAAUUCCUGGUGUAGCGGUGAAAUGCGCAGAUAUCAGGAGGGAACACCGGUGGCGAAGGCGGGGUCUCUGGGGCAGUAACUGACGCUGAGGAGCGAAAAGCCGUGGGGGAGCGAAACAGG